CCGAAACAAUCAGACAUACUUGAGGUGAGAGAUCCGGCUCAGGCAUAUUGCAGAUGAUCAGAGAUCGGGCUCAGGCACACUUGAGGUGAGCAGAGAUCGGGCUCAGUCACACUUGAGGUGAGCAGAGAUCCCGCUCAGUCACACUUGAGGUGAGCAGAGAUCCCGCUCAGUCACACUUGAGGUGAGCAGAGAUCCCGCUCAGUCACACUUGAGGUGAGCAGAGAUCCCGCUCAGUCACACUUGAGGUGAGCAGAGAUCCGGCUCAGGCAGACUUGAGGUGAGCAGAGAGUGGGCUCAGGCACACUUGAGGUGAGCAGAGAUCGGGCUCAGGCAGACUUGAGGUGAGCAGAGAUUGGGCUCAGGCAUACUUGAGGUGAGCAGAGAUUGGGCUCAGGCACACUUGAGGUGAGCAGAGAUUGGGCUCAGUCACACUUGAGGUGAGCAGAGAUCCAGCUCAGUCACACUUGAGGUGAGCAGAGAUCCCGCUCAGUCACACUUGAGGUGAGCAGAGAUCGGGCUCAGGCACACUUGAGGUGAGCAGAGAUUGGGCUCAGGCACACUUGAGGUGAGCAGAGAUCGGGCUCAGGCAGACUUGAGGUGAGCAGAGAUUGGGCUCAGGCACACUUGAGGUGAGCAGAGAUCCAGCUCAGGCAGACUUGAGGUGAGCAGAGAUCGGGCUCAGGCACACUUGAGGUGAGCAGAGAUCGGGCUCAUGCACACUUGAGGUGAGCAGAGAUUGGGCUCAGGCACACUUGAGGUGAGCAGAGAUCGGGCUCAGGCACACUUGAGGUGAGCAGAGAUCGGGCUCAGGCACACUUGAGGUGAGCAGAGAUCGGGCUCAUGGACACUUGAGGUGAGCAGAGAUCCGGCUCAGGCACACUUGAGGU
rnacentral:lncRNA from 1 species